rnacentral:rRNA from 1 species
UGCAAGUCGAACGGUGAAGGAGAGCUUGCUCUCUGGAUCAGUGGCGAACGGGUGAGUAACACGUGAGCAAUCUGCCCCUGACUCUGGGAUAACAGUUGGAAACAGCUGCUAAUACCGGAUACGAGCUUCGAAGGCAUCUUCAGAAGCUGGAAAGAACUUCGGUCAGGGAUGAGCUCGCGGCCUAUCAGCUAGUUGGUGAGGUAAUGGCUCACCAAGGCGUCGACGGGUAGCCGGCCUGAGAGGGUGACCGGCCACACUGGGACUGAGACACGGCCCAGACUCCUACGGGAGGCAGCAGUGGGGAAUAUUGCACAAUGGGCGCAAGCCUGAUGCAGCAACGCCGCGUGAGGGACGACGGCCUUCGGGUUGUAAACCUCUUUUAGCAGGGAAGAAGCGAAAGUGACGGUACCUGCAGAAAAAGCGCCGGCUAACUACGUGCCAGCAGCCGCGGUAAUACGUAGGGCGCAAGCGUUAUCCGGAAUUAUUGGGCGUAAAGAGCUCGUAGGCGGUUUGUCGCGUCUGCUGUGAAAACUGGAGGCUCAACCUCCAGCCUGCAGUGGGUACGGGCAGACUAGAGUGCGGUAGGGGAGAUUGGAAUUCCUGGUGUAGCGGUGGAAUGCGCAGAUAUCAGGAGGAACACCGAUGGCGAAGGCAGAUCUCUGGGCCGUAACUGACGCUGAGGAGCGAAAGGGUGGGGAGCAAACAGGCUUAGAUACCCUGGUAGUCCACCCCGUAAACGUUGGGAACUAGUUGUGGGGUCCAUUCCACGGAUUCCGUGACGCAGCUAACGCAUUAAGUUCCCCGCCUGGGGAGUACGGCCGCAAGGCUAAAACUCAAAGGAAUUGACGGGGACCCGCACAAGCGGCGGAGCAUGCGGAUUAAUUCGAUGCAACGCGAAGAACCUUACCAAGGCUUGACAUAUACGAGAACGGGCUA